CUCGCGUCCACCCGCUGGCUGGGGGGCCAGCGGGACCGGAGGGUGGGGAGGGGCGCGGGCCGCCGGGCUGGCCACGCCGGGGCCUCGGCCCGGAGUCCACAAGCUCAGGCUCCCGGGGACCCGACUCAUGAAGGCGGAAACUGGGACGCAGAGAGGGGAACUGGCCAAGGUCACACGGGAGCUCGCGGCCGGCGUGGGUAAGAACCCCGGCCUCCGGGCCGAGCUUGCCCGGAGCCUCCCACAGCCAUUAGCGGUUUGUGUUUUGAAAGCACCAGGGGAGCUCCCGUUCUGCAUUUGUUCCGGAGAAUUGCCAAGCUCGAGGGAAGGCGACUCUUGCUGAUGUCUAACUGACAUCGCCCCGCCUGCACCCUGCGGCAUGGUAAAGUUCAUCUCUCCGUGGAUUCCCCAGCCCAGACGGGCCCUCCCUUCUGCUGGACCACGAGGGCUCCAGGGACCUUUAUGACCUACAGGCGACCCCAUUGGCUCACACUUUGCUUGUUGUUGCCGUGGGGGCAGAGGGUCAGUGUGGGAGGCCUGAGCUGCUCAGGAGAGAUGAGGGAACGAAGGGGCCACUCAGCUUGGACACCUGGGUAGGGGCUGGGGGCUGGGUGGGCGGGGCAGCGGGCCAGGAGUGCAGUGCCUUUAUAUGGACGUAAAGGACAGGGGAACCCUGGGGACGUUAACCUCAGGGCAGUGAUGGAGGAGGCCCUGGUGGGGGAAGUCCGUUCUCUUUCCACCCGUCUCCCCGCUCUGAGCCCAGGCACCUUCUCCCUGCCCCCCAGCUCCCAACAUUGGGGCCAUUCACAGGGCCCCUCACCAGCUGCCCUCCCUUCCCUCGCUCGGACCAGCUCGCUCCCCUGGAAAGAGCCCAAGAGGAGGACCCAGCUGCAGCUCCAGAUGUGGAGGGAGCUCUGGGGGGGAGGGGAAGACGGGGGUCUGACUCCAGGUGUCUUGCAUCACCCUCGGAUGAUGAAAGCAUGUCAGAGAUUCUGGCAAGGAUGUGGGUUAGGGUCUGAGGAGGCAUCUGUGGCUCCUCCUCCCCUUCCCUCCCCCGCCCAGCACCCCAUCCAGCAGCUCACAUCCCUGUUUGGUUUGACCUAUUAAGGUCAGACCAAAACCAAAGAUAAUUCCAAGGGCAAAUUUCAAGAGCAAAUUUCAAGGGCAAAUGAACGCCCUCCUGCCAUCCUGAUGGGGGAGACAGGUGCCCCCAGGGCGAAGGAGGGGAGGAAGGAGGUCCUGGUGGGAUCCUGCACCUAUUAUUAGCAUUUGAACCCUAGAGGACGCUCUCUCUGGGGCCAGAGGUCAGGAGGCCAGCAGAGUGUUGAGGAGUCAGCUUUUGGGUACUCUCUCCCCAUUUACCAACCAAAAUAAAACAUUGAGGAGGAGACUGACAUUGAUGGACCCUCUGCAUGAACAAGGCUCUUUAUAUGCAUAUCCUCAUUUCUUUCGCAUCGCCUUUUGAGCCCGACUCUAGUAGUCUUUAUAGUUUUGCAGAUGGGGACACUGGGCUCACCCAGCAUAUAGGUAACAGACCUAGGAUUUGAACUCGUGCACCUGGUCCCAGACUCCACACAUUGUGUCCAAGCUGCAGCCCAGGGGGAAGGGAGCUGGGCCGGCGCCGGCUUCUGCUCCAGGUUCAGCCCUUCCGCAUGAUAAUGCUGCAUUUUGCAGAGCUGCUCCCCCUCCUGCCAGACUCUGGACUUCUCUGGGGCCCAACUCUGUUUUCCUGCCUUCAGGAGGUCCCCUCUGACUUCCGAGAGUAGGUGACCCUUCUGACUCACAGCCUCACUGCUGGGAAAUGGCGCCAGAGCUGCUGGCCCAGCCCCUGCCUCCGCGCCACAGGGUGUCAAGCCCGGAGAAGCAGGGAGGCCCGUGGGCUGGAAGCUCAGGCCUCCUAGAGCUCAGGGCCUCAGACAGCUAUGCCAGCCACCGCAGCAGCUCCGUCCUGGGCCACCAGGGAGCAGCAGGGCAGCUGGGUGUCCAGACCCUGACUCCUGGGUGCUGCUGCCCAGAGGGGAGGAGGUGAUGGGCAUGAAGGUCAGAUGGGGCUCCAAGUGGGAGGGCUUAAACCGCAGCUCCAGGGGACUUAGGGUAGCUGGUCAGAGGAAGCCCAGGGUGACCCCUUCAGUCUCUGUCCAGCUCCAACAGGGCCACCGCUUCCUCUCUGUGGUUUGUUCUCUCUCCCAUCCCCCCUCCCUCCUCCCAGCUGCCCUUCUGCUUUCCUGCCCUCGUUCCCAAACCUGCAGUUUCUCCCGAUCAGCUGCCUCUAUGCGACUCUCCCCCAACCCCGACCCUUUCCUCUCUGCCUGAAACAGGCAAACGCACACACACACGCAGCACAUGCAGACACAUACACACACGCACACAGAUCCACAUCCACAGACAUGUGCGUGUAAACACAUUCCCCCGUGUUUGGCCCUGAGCCCCCUGAUUGGACUGGAGUUUGAGCCCCAGCCCUUGUGCUCAGCUGAGGCCCUUCCCCCAGGCACGUUGGGGCCUCCAUCAUCUCUCCUGACGGGAGCCGUGGGCGUCUGGGCAGAUGGGAACCUGGAGGAGGUGCAGGGGCCUCUCCAAGGCCGGAAGCUCUCACGGCCCUGUGGUUAGAAUACUCCAGCAGUGACUUGGGGCAACCAUCUGAGGUCUCUCAGGCACAGCCUAGCUCUCGACAGCAACACUAUGGUGACAAACCAGACACCUAGGAGACACCCUCAGGCCUAGAAGUGUCUCCAGAGGGGCCAAGACUUGAGUCCCCUUCCCUUUUAUCUCCUUUGAGGUUGGCACCAGCCAUUGGCAUUUGCUGAAAGCUCUGGGGUGGACAGUCCAGAGUUCUGGACCUCCAGUCCUAGCCCCCAGCCCACCCCAGCAGCCAUGCUCCGUUCGUCGGGAGAACAGGCAGGCGUUCACCCAUCCUGCCAGCGGAUGGUCAGGGUCCCCCGUGGACGGAGCCCACUUCCGCCUAGCACCAGCAGCUCUGGACCCCACAGAGGGUCUGUCAGGGUGCAGACUCAGAGAUCUGAGCUCGGGUGCGGGCUUGGCCUGACUUCCUCUGUUACAGAGAGAGACAGACAGCCGUAGAGGAAACCAGAAUUUGUUAUAAAUAGCUGGGAGGAGAGAGAGCGGCUGUGGAUGACAAACACCCCGUCAGUCUUCACAAAAAACAAACAAGCUAUUUUUGGUUUCCAGCGUUACUGAGGAUUUAAUUAAUGCUCCGUAUACCCUCAAACAUGGGCUUUUCACCCACACCUCUACCCUGCAGUGACGUCUGACAGUCCUGGGACAUGAGGCAGGAGCAGGUGCGGGCUGUCCCCCAUGUCCCGGAAUCCGGGAGUCGGAGAGAACCCUAAGAUCAUCUUGCUCCACAGCUCCAUUUUCAGAAGAGGAAAUGGGCUCAGAGGUCACUUAGCCGGUGCAGGGGUCACUAAUGCCACUGACCAGGCGUUUCCGGCUCUCAGCCUCUGACAGGGCAGGACUGCCUGUCCUUGCUCUGAUGCCUGUGGCCACGGGACUUCUCUGACCAAUGAAACGUGGGCAAAAUGGACGCGUAUCACUUCUCGUGGAAGCUUUACGAGCCACUGGCCCCCCACAGUUUCAUGUUGUUUGUAGAGCGUGAGAAAUAAACUUCUAUCAUGUGAAGUCACUGAAGUUACGGGCUUAUCUGUGACCUUGGCGUGGCCCGCCCUACCUAACGGACGUAGUUGGUAAGGGGCAGGGCCAGGAUUCAGAGCUCUGGUCUGUAAAGAUGCCCAAGGGCCUCCCAGGACUCUCCCUGUCUGUCCAGUGUCUCCUCUACUGGCUCCCCCUCUGGGUUCUGAUCUCCUGGGCUGCGUGGAGCCCUGUGGGGCGGGAAGAAGUGGGCAGGCAGCGUCUCUGCCUGCAUCCAUCUCCAUCUCCACGACUUGACUACGAUUUUGCCGGGUUCUCAGAUUGCUGGGAUUGGCUAGACGAGCAUGGGUUCAUGUGAUCCCUGUGAGGACUUGGGGUCUUCUGGUCAGCUGUGACUCCCAGGGUCCUCGGGGGACCCUCUGAGAAGUAAUUAGAAAAUUGCAAGGGCCUGCCAGUGGCACUGCCCGUCGCCUGCCUAGGAAGCCGUUCUCAAACAGAGUGUUAGCACACACUCCUGGUAACCCCCAGCUCAGACUGAUCCUCUUCAAGUCACUCAUUCCCUUGGGACUCACUUCCCCCUCCGUCGAAUAGAGCCACUACAGUGGGCUGGUAACCGCCCCGAGAUCCUGGGGGAAGCCAAUAUUGGAUCAUAGCGAUCUUCUCAGAGGCACGUGCAAAGAAUUAACAGCUACCAUUUCUGACCGUUGUGCUAAAUGCUGCAGGUCCAUGCUGGCAUGGGGUGCGCAGAACACCCUAGGAGGUAGGAACAAUUAUCGUCUCCACAAAACAAAGACACCAAGAGUGGCCCAAGGUCACACCAUGGGCGGUGGAGCAGGGUUCAAACCCAAGCAAGCAGAUUUCUGGUUUCAACCUGUGUUGGAAGGAAAAGGAUGGAUCUGGGCUGGGGCAGCUGCUUUGCAGGGCCACACACAGACGAGUAUGAGUCAUGGCACAGCCCCAAAGUGGAAACCAGUGGCAUGUCCAUCCACAGAAGAAGGGACGGCCUGUGGUACAUCAAGCAAUGGAAUACGAUUCAGCCAUAAAAAGGAAGGAACUGUCAACAUAUGACACAGCAUGGAUGGACCACAAACUGAUGAUGCUGAGUGAAAGGACCCAGACCAAAAAUGCACACGCUGAAUAAUUCCAUUGACGUAGAGUCUAGAAAAUGCAAACCGACCUGUGGUGUCAGACAGCAGAUCAGCGGUUGCCUGGUGGUCAUGGGAGAGGGAGGCAGGGGCACCACACAGACUUGGGGGGCAGAGCAGGGGUUGCUAACAGGCACCAAGAAAAUGUUUUGUGGGGUGGAUGUAUCUGCUCUCUUGGUGGUGGUGGUGGUUCCAUGGAGAUAUACAUCUUUCAAAACUAGAUUGUACACUUUGAAUAUGUGCAGUUUAUUAUAAGUUAAUUAUAACUCAAUAAACUGUUUUUAAAAAAGGUGACUUGCUCCAACGUCUCUGCUUAAACAGAGCUGCAGAGCGGCUGAUGACUUAUC
rnacentral:lncRNA from 1 species